UACUAGAACGAAUCCGACGGUGAGGGACGAAGCCCUAGGUCGCAAACGGGAUUAGAUACCCCGGUAGUCUAGGGUGUAAACGCUGCAGACUAGGUGUUGGAGGCCCUACGGGGGCACCCAGUGCCCGAGAGAAGUUGUUAAGUCUGCUACUUGGGGAGUACGUCCGCAAGGAUGAAACUUAAAGGAAUUGGCGGGGGAGCACCGCAACGGGAGGAGCGUGCGGUUUAAUUGGAUUCAACACCGGAAAACUCACCAAGGGAGACCAUCACAUGAAAGCCAGGCUAAUGACUUUGCUUGAUUCUUGGAGAAGUGGUGCAUGGCCAUCGUCAGUUCGUACUGUAAAGCGUUCUCUUAAGUGAGAUAACGAACAAGACCCUCACUUAUAAUUGCUACUCGUCUGUCCGCAGACGAGGCACAUUAUCGGGACCGCUGGCGCUAAGUCAGAGGAAGGAGAGGUCAACGGUAGGUCAGUAUGCCCUGAAUCUCUUGGGCUACACGCGCGCUACAAAGGGCGGGACAAUGGGUCCCUACACCGAAAGGUGGAGGCAAUCUCGAAACCCGUCCGUAGUUCGGACUGAGGGUUGUAACUCACCCUCACGAAGCUGGAUUCCGUAGUAAUCGCGAAUCAACAACUCGCGGUGAAUAUGCCCCUGCUCCUUGCACACACCGCCCGUCAAACCACCCGAGUCGGGUUUCAGUGAGGCUGCCUUUAAUUGGGGUAUUCGAACUGAGAUUCAGCAAGGGAGGUUAAGUCGUAACAAGGUAUCUGUAGGGGAACCUGCAGAUG
rnacentral:rRNA from 1 species